CUUCUGUCAUCUGGGGCUUGCGUUUAAUGAGGUUGAUUAGCAAUUUCAUCUGGCCUACUUCUCGUUCUUCAGCAGGAGCACUGCACAAUUUUUCAUCAAAGCUGAACAUAUCAGGAUUAAAUGGUGGAGGAACAUAUUUGGUAUCUACUCCCAUAGCAGUGAAACAUGGUCUUCUGUUAGCAUAGGAGCUGCUGCAGCAUUGUGAAACGUUGUCAUUUAUAGGUGUGGUCUCCUGUUUCCUGCACGUAUCAUGAAUCACAAUGCUCAGCUGAAAAGAAAAGGAAAGAAGUGCAAACGUGUUAAACCUUCCAUAAUAUCAGAAGAAAUGUGUGAUGUUUGUUUGUGUCCGCAACAAGAUACCCAGAAGUGGAAGCUCUCCAAACUAAACGCCUUCUCAGAAAUUGAAUGGUCUUAAAGUUUGAAAUGAAUAUGUAUUCCUGGAGUCAGGGACUUCUUAAUCUGCAAUCUGACCAUUUGGUUACAAUUGGUAAGCACAGUUUUCU
rnacentral:lncRNA from 1 species